UGUUAAAAAUUUCAUCCAUUUAUACGGUUAAAAACUGGUGGUUGACAGAAUAACUGUAUAGUGACAUAUGAUGUGCCAUGUGUACCUUAUGUUGAUGUACGUCGACUAAUUUUUAACUAUAGAAAUAGAUUAAAUUUUUAAUA
rfam:Gossypium raimondii Chr11_contig_1239, whole genome shotgun sequence.